rnacentral:rRNA from 1 species
GACGAACGCUGGCGGCGUGCUUAAUACAUGCAAGUCGAACGGAAAGACCCUGCUUUUGUGGGGUGCUCGAGUGGCGAAGGGGGGAGUAACACGUGAGUAACCUGCCCUUGACUUUGGGAUAACUUCAGGAAACUGGGGCGAAUACCGGAUAGGAUCUCUUGCUGCAUGGUGGGGGUUGGAAAGUGUCGGCGGUUGGGGAUGGAUUCGCGGCUUAUCAGCUGGUUGGUGGGGUAGUGGCUUACCAAGGCUUUGACGGGUAGCCGGCCUGAGAGGGUGACCGGCCACAUGAGGACUGAGAUACGGCCCAGUCUGCUACGGGAGGCAGCAGUGGGGAAUAUUGCGCAAUGGCGCGAAGCCUGAUGCAGCAACGCCGCGUGCGGGAUAACGGCCUUCGGGUUAUAAACCGCUUUCGACUGUGACGAAGCGGGCGUGACGGUACUGGGUAAAGAAGCACCGGCUAACUACGUG